rnacentral:rRNA from 1 species
CCCCAGCGCCACGAGUGGGAAUCGCGUUUAUUGGGCCUAAAGCAUCCGUAGCUGGUUGUGUAAAUCCCUUGUGAAAUUGUUGGGCUUAACCCAACAGCGUGCAGGAGACACUGCAGAACUAGGGAUCGGGAGGGGUUAGAGGUAUGCUGAGGGGAGCGGUAAAAUGCUAUAAUCCUCGGUAGACCACCUGUGGCGAAGGCGUCUAACCAGAACGAGUCCGACAGUGAGGGAUGAAAGCCAAGGGAGCAAACCG